GUUUGAGGCGACAGCACGUUGAAUGUACCAGUUCCCCACGGAUCACUCAAGUUAAGCAACGUUGCGCGUGGUUAGUAUCUGGAUGGGUGACCAUCUAGGGAAUCGCGUGCUGCUGGGU
rnacentral:rRNA from 1 species